GGUAGCUAAAAAUAGUUGCAAAGUUCCAAGUCGGAUGAGAAAUAACUCGCACUUCUCCUAAUGUGGGGUCGUAUAAGCCUCCAAAAAAGACGGCUUUGGCAACGAGUAAGCCUGCUCCUAAACCUAGCAAAACUAAAUGUAUGCCCAGGAUAGUCGUCAUUUUAUUAGCAUCUUGCCA
rnacentral:antisense_RNA from 14 species